UGCCAGCCGCCGCGGUAAUACGGAGGGUGCAAGCGUUGUUCGGAAUCAUUGGGCGUAAAGCGAGUGUAGGCGGGCUGGUCAGUUGGGGGUGAAAUCCCGAGGCUUAACCUCGGAACUGCCCUCAAUACUACCAGUCUAGAGAUCGAGAGAGGUAAGUGGAAUUCCUAGUGUAGAGGUGAAAUUCGUAGAUAUUAGGAAGAACACCAGUGGCGAAGGCGGCUUACUGGCUCGAUACUGACGCUGAGGCGCGAAAGCGUGGGGAGCAAACAGGAUUAGAUA
rnacentral:rRNA from 1 species